UACAGAGGUCCCAAGCGUUGUUCGGAUUCACUGGGCGUAAAGGGUGCGUAGGUGGUUAGGUAAGUCCGAUGUGAAAUCUCCAGGCUCAACCUGGAAAUGGCAUUGGAUACUAUCUAGCUUGAGGAGUGGAGGGGGGACUGGAAUUCUCGGUGUAGCAGUGAAAAUGCGUAGAUAUCGAGAGGAACACCAGUGGCGAAGGCGAGUCCCCCUGGGACACUUCCUGACACUGAGGCACGAAAAAGCUAGGGGGAGCAAAACAGG
rnacentral:rRNA from 1 species